AAGUCGUAACAAGGUUUCCGUAGGUGAACCUGCGGAAGGAUCAUUAACACGUAUCCAACGUUAAACAACCCUGUGAACUUUCAGCGCUCUUGUAGCCCCAGAGGAACAGCAAUCCCGGUAAAUCAAAUGGCGGAAAGAGUUUUGAUUCAGUGCAGAAGGAUCCACUGAGUAAGGAUAACGCAUCACGGUUGCCAGAGGUCGAUCACCGGCCGGCAGACAUGUCACAGGGCUUUACGCCCCUUCAUUCACCCCUUGCCUAAUCAAGCCUCGCGGAAACGCCGGGCAUAAAAACCGAACAACUGUUAACAAUGGAUAUCUUGGUUCUC
rnacentral:misc_RNA from 1 species